rnacentral:rRNA from 1 species
AUUGAACGCUGGCGGCAUGCCUUACACAUGCAAGUCGAACGGUAACAGGUCUUCGGAUGCUGACGAGUGGCGAACGGGUGAGUAAUGUAUCGGAACGUGCCCAGUCGUGGGGGAUAACUGCUCGAAAGAGCAGCUAAUACCGCAUACGACCUGAGGGUGAAAGCGGGGGAUCGCAAGACCUCGCGCGAUUGGAGCGGCCGAUAUCAGAUUAGGUAGUUGGUGGGGUAAAGGCUCACCAAGCCAACGAUCUGUAGCUGGUCUGAGAGGACGACCAGCCACACUGGGACUGAGACACGGCCCAGACUCCUACGGGAGGCAGCAGUGGGGAAUUUUGGACAAUGGGCGCAAGCCUGAUCCAGCCAUGCCGCGUGCGGGAAGAAGGCCUUCGGGUUGUAAACCGCUUUUGUCAGGGAAGAAAUCUUCUGGGCUAAUACCCUGGGAGGAUGACGGUACCUGAAGAAUAAGCACCGGCUAACUACGUGCCAGCCGCCGCAGUAAUAC